GCCGACUCUUAGCCGCAAGGUGUCGCAACGUUCGCCGGAUCUGAAGCCGUUCGCUGCAACUCUGUUCGUUGUCGCGUCGUCGCUCGAAUCCCAACCGUUCGCCUAGCUGUCCACCGCCGUUCGACCCGCCGCCGUUCUGUCUGUCUCACGUAGGGACUGUUGCAGUCAACGACUUCCUUCGGGUUGCGUUCAACCAACCAUCCGACGACCGCUUCUCAUAUCUGGCCGACGCCCAUCAGUCUUUUCGUUGUCGGACUCUGCCGCUUGGCUUUUCUCUGGAUCUGGAGUUUUGGUGUUUUGGUGACUUGAAUUCUUGGAAAGAGUUGUGUAGCAAAAGUUUGAUGUCCAGAUUCAGUGAUCGAUUUUGGAGGUUGGAGUUGAGAUCUUGAGGUGGUUUUGGAUCAAACCACAAUUGGGAAAAGGAAGUUGUUAGUGCAUCAACCACACAUGAGGAAGCGAAGAAGGUGAAGGAGAUGGAAGCUAUUAGUAUACAACCGAUCUUGAAGGUGAAUUGUAUUAUGAGGAAUGAAUAUGUGAUCGAGUUUUGUAGCAUGCAAAAAGUGAAGACUUUAUCAAUGGUGGCUUAUAUUGCGUACCUACACUCGUUCAUUGUUGAUUCAAAUAAAGGGUCGAAGUAUAUUUUUAUAGAGUUUGGAACUUUUGUAGUAGAUUAAUGACUUCUGAACACCGUCAAUUAGUUAUUGCUCCUUAUAAUCCCGGUGAUAAUUGGUCGUUAAUUAUUAUCAAUGUGUAUGAUGACGUGGUAUACUAUCUUGACUCAUCGAGAACAAGUUCACGAGAAGAUGUCAAAUACAUAACAAAUAUAUUGAUACGAGGAGCUCGUACUCGCAACUUGAAAUGGAUGAAGUACGCAUGGAAUGGGCUGAAUAUUUAGGUCGCUAUAUCUGAUGGACUUCCUAUAAAUUUUGUGUAUAUGGCUUCAUGGGAAUGCCCAGAACAUGUGUGGUGGAGGAUACAAUUUUAGUAUUCUAAUUUUUGGAAUACAUAACACAUAUAGAUUGGUCUUACAAUUUUAGAAUGAUCAUAUAUUGAGGUGGAUUGAUAGAGUAUAUACUGUUCGAUUGUUCUUGUAAAUUUUGGAAUCGUUCAUAUAGACAUGAGUAAUAGAAGAAUGGAAUUGUUUAUUUUAGUA